GAAGCGUAUAUUAAAGUUGUUGCAGUUAAAAAGCUCGUAGUUGAAACUUGGGCCUGGCUGGCCGGUCCGCCUCACCGCGUGCACUGGUCCGGCCGGGCCUUUCCUCCUGGGGAUCCGCAUGCCCUUUACUGGGUGUGUUGGGGAACCAGGACUUUUACUUUGAAAAAAUUAGAGUGUUCAAAGCAGGCCUUUGCUCGAAUACAUUAGCAUGGAAUAAUAAAAUAGGUUGGCUUUCCUAUUUUGUUGGUUUCUAGGGGAGCCAAAAUGAUUAAUAGGGUCAGUCGGGGGCAUCAGUAUUCAAUUGUCAGAGGUGAAAUUCUUGGAUUUAUUGAAGACUAACUACUG
rnacentral:rRNA from 1 species